CACAAGGGGACAAGGGAUUUGGUAGGGAGCCACUUGCUGUGUACAAAGUUCGGCGAGGGCCACUUCCAUCGAUCCAUCCAUCUACUACUGCUGUUGCAAUGUCAACGCACAAUUAUUACUCAAAGCUUGCAGAAUCUACAAGUUAUACCAUCCAAAAACCAACAGUUUUCUCUUAUUGGCACUUUCUAGGUCGUGCCAUGAUUCCCUGAAACAUAGGAAUACCUUUUAAUUUCUCCCUCUAGGAGUAUACUACUUUUAUAAGUAAUGAUGAUAUUAUAUAUGAGAGAAUAAACCUACUUAACGCCGCCAAAAGUUUGGCGGAGUCAGGUUUUCAAGUGUCAAUCGUAGAUAUUCAACAUAAUCUUGUUCAAGUAUCCAAGCCGGGCAAAAGUGUCAAAGGUUGGAAGAGGAGUCUGUAUUGAGAAAAAAAAAGUUAGUGAAGCCUAGCAGAAAAAAAGAGAAAAGAGCUACAAUUGCAACAUAUACCUCCAUGGGCUUUGUGGAAUGCUGGCAAUGCGGGCAUGGAUGGUGAGCAACCAACGGGUGAAAAAAAACAUGGAUACUACUACAAUGAUGUCUAUAAUAAAAAAAAGGAAAAAGUACAUAUUACGUUCCACAACUUUCACAAAAGUCGCCUUUUUCUCUCUGGACUCUAAAACCGGAUAAAACAUCACUCUCAACUUUAAAACCGUUUAUCUUACCUCCCUAACCCGGUUAUAAGCGGUUUUGAAGACGAUUUUGUAUAUUAUUUAUUUAUUUAUUUUAGCUGAAUAUUUGAAAAGUCAUAAAAUAGAAGAUCCAAUUUUGUUGGACUCCA
rnacentral:lncRNA from 1 species